CAGUACGCCGUCUUCACAACUCAGAAACAAAUUGUAGGCACUACGAACCGGAGCAAGGACUAACCUCGCCUCAUAACGAGGCCGUGACCUCCUAUUUGCUCGGAGCUAUGUCCGCAAGUCCAGAUUUACGUGAUGCUGAUAAUGACGCCAUUGUGUCUGCCUAUAAGACAUAUUACAAGACAGCACGCAGGAGCUUCAGGUAUAAACAACCAGAUCUGGCAUCGUGGGCAGAAGCUGUGAAGAGUUCAGCUUGGAUUGAGAAGAAAAGAGGGUAAGAUUAGAUUAGAUCCGUUUUUGGUCAAUGUGAAUAUUUUUCAGGUGCAUUCAUAGAUUUGUUGUGUCCAUAAGCAGUGCAUCGCGCAGUACUGAUUGUCUUUAUUGAUUGAUUUUACAGCUGCUGGAAGCGACUGUGCUGGCUGCGGGUGAAGUGGACAUUUGGAAGUGCGCCACUAUAGACCUGAUGAUCCGAAAUACAGGGCAACGCACCACAGACGUCUGCAAAAUGGACCAAAUUCAGACAGAAUGCCGCCAGUUACCAACAGCUCUGAGGCGGCCGUGGCAGGCAGACAGUUGACGGUGCUGUAGGAUUU